AGUGAACGCUGGCGGUAGGCCUAACACAUGCAAGUCGAACGGCAGCACAGUAAGAGCUUGCUCUUACGGGUGGCGAGUGGCGGACGGGUGAGGAAUACAUCGGAAUCUACUUUUUCGUGGGGGAUAACGUAGGGUAACUUACGCUAAUACCGCAUACGACCUACGGGUGAAAGCAGGGGAUCUUCGGACCUUGCGCGAUUGAAUGAGCCGAUGUCGGAUUAGCUAGUUGGCGGGGUAAAGGCCCACCAAGGCGACGAUCCGUAGCUGGUCUGAGAGGAUGAUUAGGCCACACGGAACUGAGACACGGUCCAGACUCCUACGGGAGGCAGCAGUGGGGAAUAUUGGACAAUGGGCGCAAGCCUGAUCCAGCCAUACCGCGUGGGUGAAGAAGGCCUUCGGGUUGUAAAGCCCUUUUGUUGGGAAAGAAAAGCAGCAGGUUAAUACCCCGCUGUUCUGACGGUACCCAAAGAAUAAGCACCGGCUAACUUCGUG
rnacentral:rRNA from 1 species